rnacentral:rRNA from 1 species
CGCUGACGAGUGGCGGACGGGUGAGUAAUGUCUGGGAAACUGCCUGAUGGAGGGGGAUAACUACUGGAAACGGUAGCUAAUACCGCAUAACGUCGCAAGACCAAAGAGGGGGACCUUCGGGCCUCUUGCCAUCAGAUGUGCCCAGAUGGGAUUAGCUAGUAGGUGGGGUAACGGCUCACCUAGGCGACGAUCCCUAGCUGGUCUGAGAGGAUGACCAGCCACACUGGAACUGAGACACGGUCCAGACUCCUACGGGAGGCAGCAGUGGGGAAUAUUGCACAAUGGGCGCAAGCCUGAUGCAGCCAUGCCGCGUGUAUGAAGAAGGCCUUCGGGUUGUAAAGUACUUUCAGCGGGGAGGAAGGCGAUGCGGUUAAUAACCGCGUCGAUUGACGUUACCCGCAGAAGAAGCACCGGCUAACUCCGUGCCAGCAGCCGCGGUAAUACGGAGGGUGCAAGCGUUAAUCGGAAUUACUGGGCGUAAAGCGCACGCAGGCGGUCUGUCAAGUCGGAUGUGAAAUCCCCGGGCUCAACCUGGGAACUGCAUCCGAAACUGGCAGGCUUGAGUCUCGUAGAGGGGGGUAGAAUUCCAGGUGUAGCGGUGAAAUGCGUAGAGAUCUGGAGGAAUACCGGUGGCGAAGGCG